GACGAACGCUGGCGGCGUGCUUAACACAUGCAAGUCGAACGGAAAGGCCCUGCUUUUGUGGGGUGCUCGAGUGGCGAACGGGGAGUAACACGUGAGUAACCUGCCCUUGACUUUGGGAUAACUUUAGGAAACUGGGGCUAAUACCGGAUAGGAGCUCCUGCUGCAUGGUGGGGGUUGGAAAGUUUCGGCGGUUGGGGAUGGACUCGCGGCUUAUCAGCUUGUUGGUGGGGUAGUGGCUUACCAAGGCUUUGACGGGUAGCCGGCCUGAGAGGGUGACCGGCCACAUUGGGACUGAGAUACGGCCCAGACUCCUACGGGAGGCAGCAGUGGGGAAUAUGGCACAAUGGGCGGAAGCCUGAUGCAGCAACGCCGCGUGCGGGAUGACGGCCUUCGGGUUGUAAACCGCUUUCGCCUGUGACGAAGCGUGAGUGACGGUAAUGGGUAAAGAAGCACCGGCUAACUACGUG
rnacentral:rRNA from 1 species